UGCAGCAAUCAGAGCUUGGAGACAACUGCCCCUUGAAACCAUUUCUGUACACAUCCAUCAGGUGGUUGUUGCACUGUGUGGCAACAAAAAUUCUGUGACUAGUGACAACUGUGGCAAGUGAUCACUAGAAACAGGAGGAGAUCUGCGAAAAUAGCCAGAGGACUGCAAAAUAGUAAAGACUCAUCUUUAUUCUACGUAAACUGAUAGAAACUGCAAUAAAGGACAUGCAUGCCUGUUCUGCGUUACACUGGGGAACAGUCAACACAAUUUUGUAAAGGGAAAUCACAUUACAAACUUUCUGUGCAUUCAAAGAGUUAACAAACUUGUAGGUGAAGGCUAAUAUCCACAAAAAAAUACUUAGCUUUCUGAAAAGGCUUUUGAGAAGGUCCAUCAUCAAUGCUCUUAGGAAGACUAAGACAUGGGAUAUUAGAGAAAGUCCUUGCAAGUAAAACUAGACGACAGUUUGGUAUUGUCUGAAAAAAAUAAUCUGGAAAAAGGCAUUAAUAAUAGGAUGAAAAUCUGCUUACUAUGCUAAUUUUUUUUUUUUGGUAGUAAAGAUGGAGGCCGGUUGCAAAAAAAAUGCAGAAGAACUUUAAGCAAUUAUCAACGACUGGCUUGCCAGAUAUAUUUAUACGGAAAAAACAAUCUUAUCACCACAUAUAGAACAAUGGGCCCUGAGUUGACCUUUACUAGUCAGGAACAAAACUUUGAGAUUAUCAUAGAUCCAUAAAACACAUCAACUCAAUGCCCAGUAGAGGUUAAAGAAGCCAGUCAAGCUUUAGGAUUUAUUUAGAGGACAGAGGACAUUGUUAUGCCAAUUGUUUCUCUGAAUGCUAAACACAACGUCUAAUUCUGGCUUCUGUCAUAAAAAGGACAACAGAAGCGGAAAAAAAGUCCAGAAAAGCACGAUGAAGGUAUCAAAGCUACAGAAGAACUUUAUUAUGGACUGAAUAGGACAGAAGUUUAUAAAGUCAUCGCUUACCUGGAGAGUGUUACAGAAAAUGAUUGCUCACUAUUUCUUCUAACACACAAAAAAAGGUAAAAGGGACUAAGAAGCCAUUAUAUAGCAGUAAACAAACACAAGGUAGUAACGUAGUAUUCUUCACAAAAUGCAUAGUUCAGCUGUGGACUUCUGUGCUACAGGACACGGUGAAUACUAAAAGUUUGCAAGACUAAAAAGAAAUGAGACAAAUCCAAGGAAUCAAAUGUUCACCUAGAAUCGCUAAAAACCAAGAUACCACUUUUGAUACUUAUAAGUCCUUUAACUGGAUGCUGCUAGAGAUUGGGAAAGUAUAUGAGAAGUAUAUGAGAAGUACCUUUACAAGAUUGUCCUGCUCAUAUUGUACAUAAUCUGAGGCCACUUCUCUCCCUGUUGGCCACCUUCAGAGAGCAGAUGUUGGGUUGUAUGGACUUUUGGCCUCACCUUGUAGAGUGCUUUUUGUGUUCUUACUAGAAAUUAUUGUAUAUAGAGAUAUACAACACUUAUAUUAAGACAAACUGCUAUAGCGGAGUAUGACAGCACAUCACCCAGCAGCGUAAACUACAGUGAGCUCAUCAAAUUCUAUUUUCUGCUCUCUGCAUCAUCUUCCCACAGAAGAACAAGUCCAGUUCAAGAUUCUGGAGUACAUCAUUAGGGCACCUGAUAACCUGAACCAAAGAUAUUUAAAGCACUAUUUGCUCAUAUUUUGUCUUAAAGAUCAGCUGUUCCUCCCCCCCACCCCCAUACACAAUGAAUUGGAGAAUGAAGGAAAAACUUGUCCCAGAUUGCAGAAUGAGUUCUCAUAGAAAAGUUUAGUUCCAUUCCACCAGCCAUUCCAUUUUCUUUUCCUCAUCUUCUUUAAUGUACACAAACAGAUGAAUUCAGAUAUAAAAACCUCCCAAAAAUAGUAAGCUUUAUGUAAAUUUCUCUCAUAGGAGUAAGAUGAAAGAAUAAAACAUAAGUCACACUACCUAUUGUGGCACAGCAAUGGCUCCUAGAUUAAAGUCUUUGAUUCACUGUUGGUCUACACAGAUACACUGAGCAGCACCAGCUAUAGUGAACAACCAUAUUAAGCAGUUCAGUUCAUGAAUUAAACUGCCGUCAGCUCCAUAAGGCUCUUGAAGUUUGUGAGAAAACCUGAGAAUGGUUCGUACUUCUAGAAAAGUUCAGAAACGACUGCACAUCUGAACUACCUUCUAUAAUAUCAUGAUGUUGGUAUCUAUCUCCAGGCAGAAAACAAUAAAAAUCUGCACCUUCCCUUUUCAACUAUGUAUGUCAGGACAUAUAUAACAGUUUAAUGAUGGGUAUUCACAAUGUAACAGUUACUUUCACAUGAUGUCACCUAUCCAAUAGCUCCUGGUGGUCUGCAUAGAAUAAUAAUGCCUUAAAUAUAGUAACUUUUCUGAAAA